rfam:Echinococcus multilocularis genomic scaffold, pathogen_EmW_scaffold_06
GGUAGCGUGGUCGAGUGGUCUAAGAAGGUGGUUUUAGGCACCAGUGUGUAAGGGAGCGGCUUAGAAUCCCGCCACUGUCA